GACGAACCGAGCGAACGUUAUUCGGAAUCACUGGGCUUAAAGGGCGCGUAGGCGGGCGAUCAAGUCAGGGGUGAAAGCCCCCAGCUCAACUGGGGAAGUGCCUCUGAUACUGGUCAUCUUGAGGGAGGUAGGGGCGUGCGGAACUUCCGGUGGAGCGGUGAAAUGCGUAGAUAUCGGAAGGAACACCGGUGGCGAAAGCGGCGCGCUGGACCUCUUCUGACGCUGAGGCGCGAAAGCCAGGGGAGCGAACCGG
rnacentral:rRNA from 1 species